rnacentral:rRNA from 1 species
GGCCUAACACAUGCAAGUCGAGCGCGCCUUUCGGGGUGAGCGGCGGACGGGUUAGUAACGCGUGGGAAUAUGCCCAAAGGUACGGAAUAGCCUCUGGAAACGGAGAGUAAUACCGUAUGUGCCCUUCGGGGGAAAGAUUUAUCGCCUUUGGAUUAGCCCGCGUUAGAUUAGGUAGUUGGUGGGGUAACGGCCUACCAAGUCGACGAUCAGUAGCUGGUUUGAGAGGAUGAUCAGCAACACUGGGACUGAGACACGGCCCAGACUCCUACGGGAGGCAGCAGUGGGGAAUCUUAGACAAUGGGCGAAAGCCUGAUCUAGCCAUGCCGCGUGAGUGACGAAGGCCCUAGGGUCGUAAAGCUCUUUCGCCAGGGAUGAUAAUGACAGUACCUGGUAAAGAAACCCCGGCUAACUCCGUGCCAGCAGCCGCGGUAAUACGGAGGGGGUUAGCGUUGUUCGGAAUUACUGGGCGUAAAGCGCGCGUAGGCGGAUUGGAAAGUAUGGGGUGAAAUCCCGGGGCUCAACCCCGGAACUGCCCUGUAAACUAUCAGUCUAGAGUUCGAGAGAGGUGAGUGGAAUUCCAAGUGUAGAGGUGAAAUUCGUAGAUAUUUGGAGGAACACCAGUGGCGAAGGCGGCUCACUGGCUCGAUACUGACGCUGAGGUGCGAAAGUGUGGGGAGCAAACAGGAUUAGAUACCCUGAU